GAUGAACGCUGGCGGCGUGCCUAACACAUGCAAGUCGAACGGAGAUUACGGACGGAAGUUUUCGGAUGGAAGCCUGUAAUUCUUAGUGGCGGACGGGUGAGUAACGCGUGGGCAACCUGCCCUAUACAGGGGGAUAGCAGCUGGAAACGGCUGGUAAGACCGCAUAAGUCGGUUAAAUCGCAUGAUUUGAUCGGGAAAUGAGCAAUCAGGUAUAGGAUGUGCCCGCGUCCGAUUAGCCAGUUGGCAGGGUAAAAGCCUACCAAAGCGACGAUCGGUAGCCGGACUGAGAGGUCGGACGGCCACAUUGGGACUGAGACACGGCCCAAACUCCUACGGGAGGCAGCAGUGGGGGAUAUUGCACAAUGGAGGAAACUCUGAUGCAGCGACGCCGCGUGAGUGAAGAAGUAUUUCGGUAUGUAAAGCUCUAUCAGCAGGGAAGAUGAUGACGGUACCUGACUAAGAAGCCCCGGCUAACUACGUG
rnacentral:rRNA from 1 species